rnacentral:lncRNA from 1 species
UGCUGGUAGAGCAAUUACAAAAACACAAAAUUAAUAAAAAUAAACAUAUUUACAUUGAAUAACAGUGAGGCAAAACAAACUUUAUGUUGCCCCUUUGCUCAAAUGCUCUUUCGUUAGUCAAUGGUAUCGUUUGCAUCUUCAUCAUCGUCAUUUAUUUGAUCUUCGAGGUCGAGGUCCUCUUUAGAAAAUAUAUUUUGGCAGGUAUCACUACCCUGACAUGGACAAAGCUCAGUGCAAGACAUCUGCUGCUCUCGGCAAAUACAUGACUUGCUACAUAUAUAUUUUCCCUUGCAAGAACAUAUUAAAUCUUGCAGGAAAUCGGACGUCAUCAUGCCUAAAAAGUAGACUGGAUCCGGGCCAUGUGAACUCUUUUUCCAUCCGUAUUCAUAAGGAGACAAAGGAUUUGGAUGAUCGAGAUGUGAGGACAUCCAAAUUUUCGUUUGAAGACAUGAUCGCAAAACAUGUUCUUUGAAUGCAGGUUCGCUUGGUGGCAAACGCAACAAACUUGUGUCUUUGCAUGUUGCAAGUUUAACACGUAACUUGUUUAAGUCAACAUGUGAUGAAGCGAAUUUGUCUUUUGGGUCAUACAAGCUUGAAAUAAGCUCUCUGGCUGCUGACAACAAUGUUGAAAAAUCGAUCUUGUCAAAGUUUUGAAGGUUUGUAAACUUACUCGGAGAUUUUCUUAUCAAUUUGAAGACGGUCUUUUUGCCAAACCCAAAUAUAGCGGAAGUGGUAUCACAACCAGUUAAAGCAUGAACUGCAGGGAGAAUAUUAGCUAGUAAAGGUGAAAGAGAUUUACUUAACUCAUGGAUUGGUAUGUACC